rnacentral:rRNA from 1 species
GACAGAGGAUGCAAGCGUUAUCCGGAAUGAUUGGGCGUAAAGGGCGCGUAGGCGGCCGUGUAAGUCACCUGUGAAAUCCCGGGGCUCAACUCCGGGGCUGCAGGUGAGACUGCGUGGCUAGAGCACGGUAGAGGCGAGUGGAAUUCCUGGUGUAGCGGUGAAAUGCGUAGAUAUCAGGAGGAACACCGGUGGUGUAGACGGCUCACUGGACCGUAACUGACGCUGAGAACACGAAAGCGUGGGUAGCAAACAGG